rnacentral:misc_RNA from 1 species
GAUGAAGAACGCAGCGAAAUGCGAUAAGUAAUGUGAAUUGCAGAAUUCAGUGAAUCAUCGAAUCUUUGAACGCGCCUUGCGCCUUUUGGUAUUCCAUGGGGCAUGCCUGUUCGAGCGUCAUUUGUACCUUCAAGCUUUGCUUGGUGUUGGGUGUUUGUCUCGCCUUUGCGUGUAGACUCGCCUUAAAAUAAUUGGCAGCCGGCGUAUUGAUUUCGGAGCGCAGUACAUCUCGCGCUUUGCACUCAUAACGACAGCGUCCAAAAGUACAUUUUACACUCUUGACCUCGGAUCAGGUAGGGAUACCCGCUGAACUUAAGCAUAUCAAUAAGCGGAGGA